rnacentral:rRNA from 1 species
GACGAACCGUGCGAACGUUAUUCGGAAUCACUGGGCUUAAAGGGCGCGCAGGCGGGCGCGAAAGUCAGGGGUGAAAGCCCACGGCUCAACCGUGGAAGUGCCUCUGAUACUUCGCAUCUCGAGGGAGGUAGGGGCGUGCGGAACUUCCGGUGGAGCGGUGAAAUGCGUAGAUAUCGGAAGGAACGUCGGUGGCGAAAGCGGCGCGCUGGACCUCUUCUGACGCUGAGGCGCGAAAGCCAGGGGAGCGAACGGG